AGUUUGAUCAUGGCUCAGAUUGAACGCUGGCGGCAUGCCUUACACAUGCAAGUCGAACGGCAGCACGGGAGCUUGCUCCUGGCGGCGAGUGGCGAACGGGUGAGUAAUACAUCGGAACGUACCCUGAAGUGGGGGAUAACGUAGCGAAAGUUACGCUAAUACCGCAUAUUCUGUGAGCAGGAAAGAGGGGGAUCGCAAGACCUCUUGCUUUAGGAGCGGCCGAUGUCGGAUUAGCUAGUUGGUGAGGUAAAGGCUCACCAAGGCGACGAUCCGUAGCGGGUCUGAGAGGAUGAUCCGCCACACUGGGACUGAGACACGGCCCAGACUCCUACGGGAGGCAGCAGUGGGGAAUUUUGGACAAUGGGCGCAAGCCUGAUCCAGCCAUGCCGCGUGAGUGAAGAAGGCCUUCGGGUUGUAAAGCUCUUUCGGUGGGGAAGAAAUUGCUUCGGUUAAUACCUGGAGUAGAUGACGGUACCCGCAUAAGAAGCACCGGCUAACUACGUG
rnacentral:rRNA from 1 species